rnacentral:rRNA from 1 species
GAGAGUUUGAUCCUGGCUCAGCGGCUAACUACGUGCCAGCAGCCGCGGUAAUACGUAGGGUGCGAGCGUUAAUCGGAAUUACUGGGCGUAAAGCGUGCGCAGGCGGUUAUGUAAGACAGAUGUGAAAUCCCCG